ensembl:lncRNA
UGUACAAUGUAUUUAAGAGGGAUGAUUUAAAGAAUGAGAGAAAAAAAAAAAAAAAAAUGAGCACUAUUUAUAAACUAAUUGUUCAUUCCAAAUUAAAAAAAAAAUAUGUAGUAUUAAAAUUAUCAGUACAAUUAUAAAAAAAAAAAAAAAAAAAAANNNNNNNNNNNNNNNNNNNNNNNNNNNNNNNNNNNNNNNNNNNNNNNNNNNNNNNNNNNNNNNNNNNNNNNNNNNNNNNNNNNNNNNNNNNNNNNNNNNNUUGUUAUAAUUUUUUUUUUUUUUUUUUUUCUACUGUUUUGAAAAAAUAAUUACUAGCGUUUAAAUCAAGGUUAUAAACAUAAAUAUAUAUAUGUAUAUGAAUUAAGCUACUUUCUAAUCUAGGUGUUUUUACAUUUUACGGUUUGCAUUCAUAAUAUACUUAUAAUUAUAAAAAUCUUUUAAUCUGAAAAGUAAGCACUUUUAAUUAUGAUUCUCUGCUAUUUUCGAUAAAUAAAAAAAAGAAAAAGGGCAUAUAUAUAUAUAUAUAUAUAUAUAUAUAUAUAUAUACAUAUACAUAUGUACGAAUGAGUACAUAUAUGUAAAUACAUGUGGUCAUAUUGCUACAGUUUAUUAGAACUCGACUAAACAAUAAACAGUAAUAUAAUUUCAUAUAAUUUUUGAUAUAAAGUGUAGUAUUUGUAAUUUCAUAUAUUAAUACAAACGUACAAAUGGGUAAUUCUAUUGGUAUAGAGAGUUCGUUUAGUCACGUUAAUGUGACGAAUAUUAUAAUUAACGAAAAAAAUAAAAAAAUAAAAACAACACUUAGUUUAAAUGAUAAUGUUUUAAAAGAAAAUAUAAUUAAUAAUGUACAUGUACACAAUAACAAAGUUGAAUUUGAAAAUAAUGGUAUUUUUUUAAAGGACUCAGGCGACGCAAAUUUAGAAAAGGGGAAUGCUAUUAUAACUAAUGAUGCACUAAACAUAAAUUAUAGAAAAAGAAAAAAAGAUACGUUUGAAUAUUUGCUGGAUAUAGAACAUAUAAUUGAGCAUAAAGUAAAUUUUAUUAUAUUAAAAAAUGAGUUCGAAAAAAACCAAAACGAUAAAAAUAAACAUGGUAACUUUCAUAUGAACGAGCUAGUCCAAUACAUUAAAAGUAAAGAAAAAAAAAUAGAUGGAGAAUACAACAGUAAGAUAAAUAGAAAAUACGAUAUAUUUAACAGUUUUCUUAAAUAUUGCUCAAAUAAUAAUGAUACAGGGAAAAUGAGUAGCAAAAGUAAAGGUGUGUGUAAAGAACACAAGAACGAUACCUAUUUAGAGUUAAAUCAGUAUAAAAAAAACAGAGGAGAAGAAGAAGGAAAUGAACAGGAUAAAGACGAUGACAACGAAGAUGAAGUAGCAGUGAUUUUUUUUUUUAAUUUUAAAAUAAAACAUAUAAAAUAUAGCAUAUCAAAAUGCAAAGAAAACGUAGUAAAAAAUUCGAAAAUAAAUUUAACAGGAAAAAAAAGUAAGUAUAUAAAAAAAUGUUUAAUACAGCUAAAAAUAAUGGAGAACAUACAUUAUUUUAAGGAAAUAAAAUGCUUAAGAGAAAGUAUAAAUUUUUUUAAAAAAGUAUAUUCUGGUAGUUUAUAUAAUUUUGUAAUGUCAAAUAGUGGCGAUGAAGACUGUAGUAAUUGUGACAGUACUAAUGGUAAUAAAGGUGUUGAUAAUAAUAAUAUAAAUAGGAUUAAAAAACAUUCAGUUGUAAAAAAAAAGAAUUCUAAAAAAGAUAAUUUUGAACAACACUUUCUAAAUAAAAAAGAAAUUAAUGGUUUGUGUUCUUAUGUUAUAGUACAUAUGAAAAGAGGUGUUAGUUAUCACUUGGUAAACGAAAAAAAUGAUAUCUAUCGUAUUGGUAGUGGUUUGACAGGGUAUAAAACAAUACAAAAUAUAUUUUUAUUAAUAACAGGCAAAUUUUACUCUAUAGAAAAAAUAGUUAAAUUUUCUAAAAAGGGAACACAUAACACUUUUGACAUGUCAGUUGGAGAUAUUUAUGGUGACUCGUAUACAAAAGCUGGCUUGGAUAAAGAUUUAGUGGCAUCUUUUUUUGGUCAAGCUCAAAAAAAUAGUAAUAGUAACAGAGAAAAUGAAAACAUAUUUAAUUGUAAUAUAAAAAAAAUAGUUGAUAAUGUUUCUGGUUCUGAUACUGCUAUUAGUGAUAAUGGUGGUCAUGAGAGUGACUCCUUUAACAAUAGCAGCAACAGUUAUAGUAAAAUAAAAGAAAAACAUUUUCAACAUUUUAAGAGCAGUUACAGUGAUUCGAAUUUAAACACAACAUACGAUAAAGAAAUAAAUUAUUUGAAAAAAGGUGUCAGAAGAAAUAUUAUUUUAGAAGAUUGUAAAAAUAAAAGAAAUGAAAAACGUGAGAAUGACGGAAGGGGAAAAGAAGAAAAAAAAUGGGGUUAUAUAUUACCGAAAAAUAAUAAAUUUGAAAUAAAAAAUUCAAAUAAUUGUAUUACUCACAAAAUGUAUGAUAAAGAAAUUAACGGACAAAUUGAAAGAAGUAAUAUUAUUAGGUAUGUAAAAAACUGUGAUGGACAAGAAACUGUAUUACAAAAACGAGUCUCCGUAAAUGAUAGUAAUACUAGUAGCAACAUUAGCAACGUUAGUAGUAGUAGCAACGUUAGUAGUAGUAGCAACAUUAGUAGUAGUAGCAAAGUUAGCAAUAGUAGCAA